CAGCCGCCGCGGUAAUACCGGCGGCCCGAGUGGCGGUCACUAUUAUUGGGCUUAAAGCGUCCGUAGCCGGGUUGGGAAGUCCUCCGGGAAAUCUGGCCGCUUAACGGUCAGAAUGCCGGAGGAUACUCCCAGCCUAGGGAGCGGGAGAGGCCGAGGGUAUUCCCGGAGUAGGGGGGAAAUCCUAUAAUCCCGGGAGGACCACCUGUGGCGAAGGCGCUCGGCUGGGACGCGUCCGACGGUGAGGGACGAAGGCCAGGGGAGCAAACCGGAUUAGAUACCCGGGUAGUCCUGGCUGUAAACGAUGCGGACUUUGUGUCGGACAAGCUAUGAGCUUGUCCGGUGCCGGAGGGAAACCGUUAAGUCCGCCGCCUGGGGAGUACGGCCGCAAGGCUGAAACUUAAAGGAAUUGGCGGG
rnacentral:rRNA from 1 species